rnacentral:rRNA from 1 species
GAUGAACGCUGGCGGCGUGCCUAAUACAUGCAAGUCGAGCGAACAGAUAAGGAGCUUGCUCCUUUGAAGUUAGCGGCGGACGGGUGAGUAACACGUGGGUAACCUACCUAUAAGACUGGGAUAACUUCGGGAAACCGGAGCUAAUACCGGAUAACAUUUACAACCACAUGGUUCUAAAGUGAAAGAUGGUUUUGCUAUCACUUAUAGAUGGACCCGCGCCGUAUUAGCUAGUUGGUAAGGUAACGGCUUACCAAGGCGACGAUACGUAGCCGACCUGAGGGGGUGAUCGGCCACACUGGAACUGAGACACGGUCCAGACUCCUACGGGAGGCAGCAGUAGGGAAUCUUCCGCAAUGGGCGAAAGCCUGACGGAGCAACGCCGCGUGAGUGAUGAAGGGUUUCGGCUCGUAAAACUCUGUUAUUAGGGAAGAACAAAUGUGUAAGUAACUGUGCACAUCUUGACGGUACCUAAUCAGAAAGCCACGGCUAACUACGUGCCAGCAGCCGCGGUAAUACGUAGGUGGCAAGCGUUAUCCGGAAUUAUUGGGCGUAAAGCGCGCGUAGGCGGUUUCUUAAGUCUGAUGUGAAAGCCCACGGCUCAACCGUGGAGGGUCAUUGGAAACUGGGAAACUUGAGUGCAGAAGAGGAAAGUGGAAUUCCAUGUGUAGCGGUGAAAUGCGCAGAGAUAUGGAGGAACACCAGUGGCGAAGGCGACUUUCUGGUCUGUAACUGACGCUGAUGUGCGAAAGCGUGGGGAUCAAACAGGAUUAGAUACCCUGGUAGUCCACGCCGUAAACGAUGAGUGCUAAGUGUUAGGGGGUUUCCGCCCCUUAGUGCUGCAGCUAACGCAUUAAGCACUCCGCCUGGGGAGUACGACCGCAAGGUUGAAACUCAAAGGAAUUGACGGGGACCCGCACAAGCGGUGGAGCAUGUGGUUUAAUUCGAAGCAACGCGAAGAACCUUACCAAAUCUUGACAUCCUUUGAAAACUCUAGAGAUAGAGCCUUCCCCUUCGGGGGACAAAGUGACAGGUGGUGCAUGGUUGUCGUCAGCUCGUGUCGUGAGAUGUUGGGUUAAGUCCCGCAACGAGCGCAACCCUUAAGCUUAGUUGCCAUCAUUAAGUUGGGCACUCUAGGUUGACUGCCGGUGACAAACCGGAGGAAGGUGGGGAUGACGUCAAAUCAUCAUGCCCCUUAUGAUUUGGGCUACACACGUGCUACAAUGGACAAUACAAAGGGCAGCUAAACCGCGAGGUCAUGCAAAUCCCAUAAAGUUGUUCUCAGUUCGGAUUGUAGUCUGCAACUCGACUACAUGAAGCUGGAAUCGCUAGUAAUCGUAGAUCAGCAUGCUACGGUGAAUACGUUCCCGGGUCU